rnacentral:tRNA from 1 species
GCCCGGGUGGCGAAAUUGGUAGACGCGGCAGACUCAAAAUCUGUUUUCGAAAGAAGUGCCGGUUCGAUUCCGGCCCCGGGCACCA